CAAAUUAUAUUUUAGGAAAAGAUUUCAUUUACAUUGAAAAAGGUGCUGUUCAAUUCAGCAUAAUUUGA
rnacentral:tRNA from 1 species